rnacentral:rRNA from 1 species
GACGAACGCUGGCGGCGUGCUUAACACAUGCAAGUCGAGCGGAAAGGCCCUUCGGGGUACUCGAGCGGCGAACGGGUGAGUAACACGUGAGUAAUCUGCCCUUGGCUUUGGGAUAACUACCGGAAACGGUGGCUAAUACCGGAUACGACGACCGCCUGCAUGGGCUGGUUGUGGAAAGUUUUUUCGGCCAGGGAUGUGCUCGCGGCCUAUCAGCUUGUUGGUGGGGUAAUGGCCUACCAAGGCUUCGACGGGUAGCCGGCCUGAGAGGGUGACCGGCCACACUGGGACUGAGACACGGCCCAGACUCCUACGGGAGGCAGCAGUGGGGAAUAUUGGACAAUGGGCGGAAGCCUGAUCCAGCAACGCCGCGUGAGGGAUGACGGCCUUCGGGUUGUAAACCUCUUUCAGUAUCGACGAAGCGCCGAUGAUGGUGGUGACGGUAGGUACAGAAG